CCCAAAUAGCGUGGUCCUCCCCUGCUCUGCCCACACGCCCCCAGAGCCGAGGGCCCGGGCACAAUGCGCUUCUGUGCCCCUGUCCCAGCCCUCCGCCAAAACCCAGCUGCAUUCACGGGCUUUGCUAUUGUGGCGUGGGGGCGGGCUGGCUCCAACAGGCCGUGGUCAGCGGUCAGCAUGCAAGUCACAUCCGCAGGCACUGCCACGGGCCUGCCAGCCGCACACAGAACGCGACGCUCCCGCGCCCAAGGCCCUCACGGCUCUCGCCCUCCCCACCGCCCCCUGGGAGCCUUCAGGUGGGGGGAGUUCUUUCUUGCCUUCUCAGCCAGUUGCUAUUUUGGGGCCGUAUUAGGUCACCGGCUAAGCCCUGGACACAGGAAAAGUCCGUCCCCAGAAGCAGACCGAGCCUCUCAGAGGAGCUGGGCGGCGGAGCAGGUGGAGAGACCGUGAGCCUCGGGGAGGGUAGGGCACCACCCACUGCCCCGGGGCCCGCAGGCCUGGCGGCCGCCACGGGCCCCGGAGAGGGACUGCAACUGCCCCAGGACGGCAGCAGGCAGCAGGAAGGAGUGGGAUCUGCGUGGGGCAGCAGGGAAGGCUCCAGAGAGGGCCCCUCCGAGGCUUAAAUGGCUCCAGAAUGAAAUACAACAACCUUCACACACUCCCCUCGUACUGUGGUGGCAUUGGUGUUUGAAUACUAUCUGCAAUGAACUAUUUUGAGCUAUAUUAUGAAAAGAAAAUAUAUUUUAAAAGUCCCAAUGUGUGACAUUCUGGAAGGUGAAAGUACACCGAGAAAGUGAGAAGAUCACAUUUGACUGGAGAGACGGUUUGGCAGCU